rnacentral:lncRNA from 1 species
AGGGCUGUCAGUCCUGGACACGGGGCUCUAAGUCAGGGGUGGUGGCUCCUGUGAGUAGACCCCAGGGCGGGCCUUGGGCCGAUGCCCCGUAAGGCAAGGCCCCCGAGAUGCACUCCCGCCUUGGAGACAGCCCUGUAAAUUGGCCGGGCCAGAAACCCCAGCCCUGAGGACUCGACCUGCUUGCGGCUCCCGAGAUGUUGCAAGCUUUUCACCAGGGAAACAGCAGAAACUGAUCCCCCUUCAGAGAUCUCUGGCCUUUGUUUUUCUAGGGGAAAUGCAAUAUUGUCCCUGGGGAGCUUUGUUUCCUGAAUCCCAAAUUACAAGGCACGUGGGGAUACCUCUUCUGGGCAUGAGAAAUCAUUUAGGAGAUACAGGUUAGGUAUCUAAAUAUUGGGAUUUCUAGGUCAUUCCAAUGAUGUAAAGGGCUACU